GAAGCCACGCGGGGCUGCGAGUUCCCACUGUGGGCAGCUCUGUGACUCAGGCAUCGCCUGCCUGAGGAGUCGGCCCUUCUGAGAGAGCUCCGUGCUUUAUUCCAAAGAAACACGAAUUUGGCCAAGCGCACCACGUUAGACAGUAAGGGGAAGGAGAAAUGCAUUAUGCAAACCUGGAGGGAAAAGCAUCUGUUUCCCUCUCGCCCGCUCCCAGCACAACCUGCUGCUUAAAAGGAAAAAAGACACAGCUCUGAGAAGUGCCUCUGCUUGUUGGGAAAAGAGAGAGAGACGCUUCAAGGGUUCUGAUUUUCCCGACAAAGCUCUGAGUUUUGGCAGCUCUUGGCUUCUGGAGUCUUUGGAGAAGCUGUGGUAUUUCUUGUUUUUACGCUUAAAAUAGCCUGGAAUCGGGCUCUUCAUGUUUCCUGGAGUCUGCUUCGCUUUCCAAACCCGAGUGAGAGUCACCAUGAUGCAAAUAAGAAUUAAAACCCGUUGAAAGCCCUGGGUUGAAGUCGGUGUGUAUUUUACGGGCCUGCGACAGCUAAUGCAGGAGCUGCUCCCCCGAUAAGCAUUAUUUUGGAUCACAAUAAAAGCCACAUCAGAUCAAGGCUUUUGGCA
rnacentral:lncRNA from 1 species